UGAUUUUAGUCCAAAAGGAUCUUUAAAAAUAUUUAACUUAAAUGGUUAUAUGAAACCGUGAUGAAAUGGUAAAAUCACAAAAUAGUACGCUAUUUAACUCAAAAGUAUGAUAUCAAACAAUGAGAUAUGAGUGAGAAAACUAACCUUUGGGGAGACAGCUCAGUUGUCAGCAAGACUGAAGUGAGCAUCAUAAGUGUUCAGGGAGUAAGGAGCACUGAACACUGUGUAGAGACUGUCAACAGGCUUCGCUCCAUCAGAAGGUGGCAACCUCUUCUUCUGAUGCUUAAACAGCUUGGAUGCCAUGGCAUGAACAACUUUACACAGUUACCAUGUCCAAAUUUUAAG